rnacentral:rRNA from 1 species
UACAGAGGUCCCAAGCGUUGUUCGGAUUCACUGGGCGUAAAGGGUGCGUAGGCGGUGAGGUAAGUCGGAUGUGAAAGCUCGGAGCUCAACUCCGAAAUAGCAUUGGAAACUACCUUGCUCGAGGGUUGGAGGGGGGACUGGAAUACUUGGUGUAGCAGUGAAAUGCGUAGAUAUCAAGUGGAACACCAGUGGCGAAGGCGAGUCCCUGGACAACUCCUGACACUGAGGCACGAAAGCUAGGGGAGCAAACAGG